ACCUGGUUGGCUCAGUCAGUAGAGCGUGGGACUCUUGAUCUCAGCGUUGUGGGUUCGAGCCCCACAUUAGGUG